rnacentral:rRNA from 1 species
UGGCGGCGUGCCUAACACAUGCAAGUCGAGCGGGUCCGAUCCGGUAGCAAUACCGGGGAAGACCUAGCGGCGAACGGGUGAGUAACACGUGAGAAACCUGCCCCGAAGUCUGGGAUAACCCGAGGAAACUCGAGCUAAUACCGGAUGUCUUCUUCUGAUCGCAUGGUCGGAUGAAGAAAGAUUUAUCGCUUCGGGAGGGUCUCGCGGCCUAUCAGCUAGUUGCGGGGUAACGGCCCACCAAGGCGUCGACGGGUAGCUGGUCUGAGAGGACGAUCAGCCACACUGGGACUGAGACACGGCCCAGACUCCUACGGGAGGCAGCAGUGGGGAAUAUUGCGCAAUGGGCGAAAGCCUGACGCAGCAACGCCGCGUGCGGGAUGAAGGCCUUCGGGUUGUAAACCGCUUUCAGUGGGGACGAAUUCAGACGGUACCCACAGAAGAAGCCCCGGCCAACUACGUG